GUGUUAUUAGCUCAGUUGGUUAGAGCGCUUGAUUGUGGUUCAAGAGGUCGUCAGUUCGAUUCUGACAUAACACCC
rnacentral:tRNA from 1 species